rnacentral:rRNA from 1 species
UUGACGGGGCCGCACAAGCGGUGGAGCAUGUGGUUAAUUCGAAGCAACGCGAAGAACCUUACCAGGUCUUGACAUCCCCUGACAACCCGAGAGAUCGGGCGUUCCCCUUCGGGGGACAGGGUGACAGGUGGUGCAUGGUUGUCGUCAGCUCGUGUCGUGAGAUGUUGGGUUAAGUCCCGCAACGAGCGCAACCCUCGACCUUAGUUGCCAGCAUUCAGUUGGGCACUCUAGAGGGACUGCCGGCGACAAGUCGGAGGAAGGUGGGGAUGACGUCAAAUCAUCAUGCCCCUUAUGACCUGGGCUACACACGUGCUACAAUGGGCGGUACAAAGGGCUGCGAACCCGCGAGGGGGAGCGAAUCCCAAAAAGCCGCUCUCAGUUCGGAUUGCAGGCUGCAACUCGCCUGCAUGAAGCCGGAAUCGCUAGUAAUCGCGGAUCAGCAUGCCGCGGUGAAUACGUUCCCGGGCCUU